rnacentral:rRNA from 1 species
UGGCGAACGGGUGAGUAACACGUGAGCAAUCUGCCCCUGACUCUGGGAUAAGCGCUGGAAACGGCGUCUAAUACUGGAUAUGAACCGUGGAGGCAUCUUCAACGGUUGGAAAGAUUUUUUGGUCAGGGAUGAGCUCGCGGCCUAUCAGCUUGUUGGUGAGGUAAUGGCUCACCAAGGCGUCGACGGGUAGCCGGCCUGAGAGGGUGACCGGCCACACUGGGACUGAGACACGGCCCAGACUCCUACGGGAGGCAGCAGUGGGGAAUAUUGCACAAUGGGCGCAAGCCUGAUGCAGCAACGCCGCGUGAGGGAUGACGGCCUUCGGGUUGUAAACCUCUUUUAGCAGGGAAGAAGCGAAAGUGACGGUACCUGCAGAAAAAGCGCCGGCUAACUACGUGCCAGCAGCCGCGGUAAUACGUAGGGCGCAAGCGUUAUCCGGAAUUAUUGGGCGUAAAGAGCUCGUAGGCGGUUUGUCGCGUCUGCUGUGAAAUCCCGAGGCUCAACCUCGGGUCUGCAGUGGGUACGGGCAGACUAGAGUGCGGUAGGGGAGAUUGGAAUUCCUGGUGUAGCGGUGGAAUGCGCAGAUAUCAGGAGGAACACCGAUGGCGAAGGCAGAUCUCUGGGCCGUAACUGACGCUGAGGAGCGAAAGGGUGGGGAGCAAACAGGCUUAGAUACCCUGGUAGUCCACCCCGUAAACGUUGGGAACUAGUUGUGGGGUCCAUUCCACGGAUUCCGUGACGCAGCUAACGCAUUAAGUUCCCCGCCUGGGGAGUACGGCCGCAAGGCUAAAACUCAAAGGAAUUGACGGGGACCCGCACAAGCGGCGGAGCAUGCGGAUUAAUUCGAUGCAACGCGAAGAACCUUACCAAGGCUUGACAUAUACGAGAACGCUGCAGAAAUGUAGAACUCUUUGGACACUCGUAAACAGGUGGUGCAUGGUUGUCGUCAGCUCGUGUCGUGAGAUGUUGGGUUAAGUCCCGCAACGAGCGCAACCCUCGUUCUAUGUUGCCAGCACGUAAUGGUGGGAACUCAUGGGAUACUGCCGGGGUCAACUCGGAGGAAGGUGGGGAUGACGUCAAAUCAUCAUGCCCCUUAUGUCUUGGGCUUCACGCAUGCUACAAUGGCCGGUACAAAGGGCUGCAAUACCGUAAGGUGGAGCGAAUCCCAAAAAGCCGGUCCCAGUUCGGAUUGAGGUCUGCAACUCGACCUCAUGAAGUCGGAGUCGCUAGUAAUCGCAGAUCAGCAACGCUGCGGUGAAUACGUUCCCGGGUCUUGUACACACCGCCCGUCAAGUCAUGAAAGUCGGUAACACCUGAAGCCGGUGGCCCAACCCUUG